GAACUAGAGUGCCGGCGCUGUCGGGGAGCUCCUGCCCUGACAUUGCUGGCUUUGAAGAUGGUGGAAGGAGAUCAAUCAAGGAAGCAGGUGGCCUCUAAAAGCUGGAAAAAGUACAGAGAGCCUCCACCUUGAUCUUGGCCCAGUUAGAACCCUGUCAGGCUUCCUUCUACUGAGCUGUAAAGGAUGAUUAACCCUGAGCUAACAUCUACUGCCCAUCCUCCUUUCUUUGCUGAGGAAGACGGGCCGGGAGCUAACAUCUGUGCCCAUCUUCCUCUAUUUUAUAUGUGGGAUGCCUGCCACAGCAUGGCUUGACAAGUGGUGCAUAGGUCCACACCCAGGAUCCGAACAGGUAAAAUCUGGGCUGCAGAAGUGGAAUGUGAGAACUUAACUGCUGUGCCACUUGGCUGGCCCCUAAAGAUUAGCCCUGGGCUAAUAUCUGCCACCAAUCCUCCUGUUUUUGCUGAGGAAGACCAACCCUGAGCUAACAUCAGUGCCUAUCUUCCUUUACUUUAUAUAUGGGACGCCUGCCACAGCAUGGCUUCACAAGCAGUAUCCAAGCAGUGAACCGCUGGCCAUCAAAGCUGAAUGUGUGAACUUAACCACUGUGCCACUGGGCCGGCCCCCCACCAUCAUUUUGUAUAAGAUUAUUCUUUCAUCAACUAUAUUAUACAGUGCCAUGUUUUUCUUUGAUCAAAUAUCCAUAUGUGCUUGAGUCUGUAUUGAGUUUUUAUUCCAUUGGUCUAUUUCUCUGUUCUUGCACAAAUACCAUGCUAUCUUAAUUACUAUUAGUUAUUAUUAUUAUUUUUUCCACGUGGCUAAUCAGUUGUAUAAGAUCUCUUUGAAUAGUCCAAAACUUGCACAGUAAUCUGAAAUAUCAACUUUGUAUCAACUUUUUUAUACAAAGUAUUUGUAUAAAAUAUGUAUCUAUUUGUAUACUCUGUAUUCAGUUUCAUUGGUCCGUAUUUUUAUUAUUCAUAGUGUGGAAAUUAGUGUAGUUUAAUAAGAAUAGACGUUUGAUAU
rnacentral:lncRNA from 1 species